rnacentral:tRNA from 1 species
GGGCGGUUAGCUCAGCUGGAAGAGCACCUGGUUUACACCCAGGGGGUCGGCGGUUCGAACCCGUCACCGCCCACCA